ACUGUCUCAAAAAAAAAAAAAAUAGUGUCUAACCUCCAUAAAUGUUCAAUAAAUUUUAACUAGUAGCACAAGUAGUAACGGCAGAGUAUCUCCUAAUAACAUUUCAUCCCAAGUUACCUCCCUUAUUUUUCCACAGCAAAAGUUGUUCAGAUUCUUCUUUAUGUAUAUGGAAUGAUUAAUCAUUAUAAUAUGAUUAAUUAUAACAAAGAAUGCAGUGCAGUAUGAUUAGUUUUUAACUUGGUUUAAUGAAGCUGCAGUCUUUUAGCCAACAACCUAUACUAGUUACCUGCCAGCUACCUUCACUUACAGGCUCUUAAUAAAUAUUCGCUAAAUGAAUGGCCUAUGGCAAAGGUCUGAAGCUUUCUCUGUAAAGGGUCAGACAGUAAAUAUUUGAGGUUUUGAGUACCAUAUGGUUUCUGUUGCAAUGACUCAGUUCUGCCAUUGUAGCCCAAAAGCAUCCAUAGACAAUUGCCUACAAAUUGGCAUCUAGCAUUUUUUUGUAAUCUAGAAGCAAUGGGCUAUGCCAUAUAGCCUCGGUGUGUAGCAGGCUAUACUAUCUAUGUUUGUGUAGGUACACUAUGAUGUUUGCAUUAUGAAAUCGCCUAAUGACACAUUCCUCAGAACAUAUCCCUGUCCUUAAGUGAUGCAUGCCUGGAUACCCUUUGUGGUAUGUGAGAUGAGUAAUUCUUCCAAAUGUUAAUGAGCAACUAGUGGGUACAAAAUUGUUAAUUUUGUAGACUUUCAGGCCCAACUCAAAUGCUGUUUCCUUCCUCAAGUCUUAUUUAAUCCUCCCCACCUGAAUGAAUCUUCUUUCUCUUAACUUUCAAAUAAUUUAUUUUUGACAUGUGACUUUCUACCCUUUAUUAAUAGCUGUUUAUAUACAUAUUUUAUCUCUUCUUUUAGAUUGCAGUCUGUCUGUGUCUGACAAAUGUGUGUGGCAGUGCAUACUCUGCUGUGUGCAUUGCAUGCAGUAGGCCCUCAGGCUAUGUUUGUUGAAUUCUGGUUUUCUUCAGUGUCAUUGUAGGAAGAUUAGCUGAAAUAGCGUAAAAGGCACCUUUGAUUUUUGGUAAAUCUGGGUCUUUGGCAAUCUGGGUUCUAAUUCUGACUUUAUCACGUACUAGCAAUAUACUCAAGCUCUCUGAAUCAACCUCAGUUUCCACACCUAUAAAAUGAGGAUAAUUCCAAUACUACAUUGUUUUGUGAGGAUUAAAUGAGUUGACAAAUGUCAAGUGCCUAACAGAAAACCUAGCACAUCAUAAACAUUAGCCUUUAUUAUAUCUAAAGGACAUAUUCAACUUUUUGUUUUACUAUCACAUAAAUGUUCUAAAAAUGACUAAUUAAUAAGCCAUUAAUAUAUAAAUAUUAAAAGGCAAAUAACAUCUUAGUGGAGUGUGUAUUAAUGAAAUGUUAUGUUAUUUUCUGCAUCUGUCAAUAAAUAUUUAAUCCAUUAUAUUUUUGCAGUCACCAUAACAACAAAAAUAAAGCUGUAUUUAAUUUGAAUUAACUCCAAGGAGUCCUAUUUCUUGUUUUGAUUCUGUGGCCAAACUGAGAUUUUGUUCUAUUUAUCAGGCUAUAGUAUCCUGAAAAUAGGUAAAAUUAACAGGGAUUAUAAGGGAACUUGUUGCAGAAAAGGUAAAGUGGUGUCUAUUAUUUUAUUACACUCUAUUAGUGACCAGUACAUAUUUUAUACUAGAAGAGAGAAUCAUAAAAAUGAAAAAUAUAACCAGCUUUGUUUUUUCCUUUAUUUCUGGCAUGUUUAUGUGCCUAGGGAUGAUAAUGCACUGUGACCCUUCAGUCAGUAUGACUCUGCAAUCCAGUGCUGCUCAGGCCCUGUCCUCAUCUUCCCUUCUGUCCUACAUGCCUCUUCCCCUGUUAUCCUGCUCCUUGCCAAGCCCCAGUUCCCAAGGAUGGUUUUUCAUUCAUCCUUGUUUGUGUCUAUCAACCCCUGGAUCCUCUUCGUAGCUAGAAGCUUAAUCUACUAGAAAAGUGGGUAAAAAAUUGCUUCUUGCUGAGUGUGAGGUGAGGGAUUGGGAGUGGCCAUGAAUGAGGUAGGAUACAGGUUUAAGGAGAGAACAGGUAAAGAUAGAAAGGAAAGAACAGGUGGG